AGAUUGAACGCUGGCGGCAUGCCUUACACAUGCAAGUCGAACGGUAGAGUAGCAAUACUUGAGAGUGGCGAACGGGUGAGUAAUAUAUCGGAACGUGCCCAGUCGCGGGGGAUAACGUAGAGAAAUUUACGCUAAUACCGCAUACGAUCUAAGGAUGAAAGCGGGGGACUCGCAAGAGCCUCGCGCGAUUGGAGCGGCUGAUAUCAGAUUAGGUUGUUGGUGAGGUAAAGCUCACCAAGCCGACGAUCUGUAGCUGGUUUGAGAGAACGACCAGCCACACUGGGACUGAGACACGGCCCAGACUCCGUACGGGAGGCAGCAGGUGGGUAAUUUGGACAAGUGGGACGAAGCCUAGAUCCGAGUCAAGUGCCGCGUAGACGAGGGAAGAACGGCCGUUACGGGUUAGUAAACUGU
rnacentral:rRNA from 1 species